rnacentral:rRNA from 1 species
UACGAAGGGUGCAAGCGUUACUCGGAAUUACUGGGCGUAAAGCGUGCGUAGGUGGUUUGUUAAGUCCGAUGUGAAAGCCCUGGGCUCAACCUGGGAAUGGCAUUGGAUACUGGCAGGCUAGAGUGCGGUAGAGGGUAGUGGAAUUCCCGGUGUAGCAGUGAAAUGCGUAGAUAUCGGGAGGAACAUCCGUGGCGAAGGCGACUACCUGGACCAGCACUGACACUGAGACACGAAAGCGUGGAGAGCAAACAGG